rnacentral:miRNA from 1 species
UUCCUGACGAACCACGGAAA